rnacentral:tRNA from 1 species
UUCCUGGUGGCUCAGAUGGCAGAGCAUCUGCCUACAAUGCAGGAAACCUGGGUUUGAUCCCUGGGUUGGAAA